rnacentral:rRNA from 1 species
UACGUAGGGGGCAAGCGUUGUCCGGAAUCAUUGGGCGUAAAGAGCGUGUAGGCGGUCCGGUAAGUCCGCUGUAAAAGUCAAGGGCUCAACCCUUGAAAGCCGGUGGAUACUGCCGGGCUAGAGUCCGGAAGAGGCGAGUGGAACUCCUGGUGUAGCGGUGAAAUGCGCAGAUAUCAGGAAGAACACCUACGGCGAAGGCAGCUCGCUGGGACGGUACUGACGCUGAGGCGCGAAAGCUAGGGGAGCGAACAGG